AGAGUUUGAUCAUGGCUCAGAACGUACGCUGGCGGCACGCCUAACACAUGCAAGUCGAACGAAGUAGCAAUACUUAGUGGCAGACGGGUGAGUAACAUGUAGGUAUCUGCCCUUUGGCCUGGAAUAACACGAGGAAACUUGUGCUAAUACCGGAUAAGUCUUUACGGAGAAAGCUUUAUGCACCAUUGGAUGAGCCUGCACUUGAUUAGUUUGUUGGUGGGGUAAUGGCCUACCAAGACUGUGAUCAAUAGCUGAUUUGAGAGGAUGAUCAGCCACAUUGGGACUGAGACACGGCCCAAACUCCUACGGGAGGCAGCAGUGGGGAAUCUUGCACAAUGGAGGAAACUCUGAUGCAGCGAUGCCGCGUGAGUGAAGAAGGCCCUUGGGUUGUAAAGCUCUUUCGUCGGGGAAGAAAAUGACUGUACCCGAAUAAGAAGGUCCGGCUAACUUCGUGCCAGCAGCCGCGGUAAUACGAAGGGACCUAGCGUAGUUCGGAAUUACUGGGCUUAAAGAGUUCGUAGGUGGUUGAAAAAGUUAGUGGUGAAAUCCCAGAGCUUAACUCUGGAACUGCCAUUAAAACUUUUCAGCUAGAGUAUGAUAGAGGAAAGCAGAAUUUCUAGUGUAGAGGUGAAAUUCGUAGAUAUUAGAAAGAAUACCAAUUGCGAAGGCAGCUUUCUGGAUCAUUACUGACACUGAGGAACGAAAGCAUGGGUAGCGAAGAGGAUUAGAUACCCUCGUAGUCCAUGCCGUAAACGAUGUGUGUUAGACGUUGGAAAUUUAUUUUCAGUGUCGCAGCGAAAGCGAUAAACACACCGCCUGGGGAGUACGACCGCAAGGUUAAAACUCAAAUGAAUUGACGGGGACCCGCACAAGUAGUGGAGCAUGUGGUUUAAUUCGAAGAUACGCGCAGAACCUUACCAACACUUGACAUGUUCGUCGCGACUCUAAGAGAUUAGAGUUUUCGGUUCGGCCGGACGAAACACAGGUGCUGCAUGGCUGUCGUCAGCUCGUGUCGUGAGAUGUUGGGUUAAGUCCCGCAACGAGCGCAACCCUCACUUUUAGUUGCCAUCAUUAAGUUGGGCACUCUGAAAGAACUGCCAGUGAUAAGCUGGAGGAAGGUGGGGAUGACGUCAAGUCCUCAUGGCCCUUACGUGUUGGGCUACACACGUGCUACAAUGGUAUCUACAACAGGAAGCAAGACUGCGAAGUUAAGCAAAUCCCUAAAAGAUACCUCAGUUCGGAUUGCACUCUGCAACUCGAGUGCAUGAAGCUGGAAUUACUAGUAAUCGUGGAUCAGCGUGCCACGGUGAAUGCGUUCCCGGGUCUUGUACACACCGCCCGUCACACCAUGGGGGUUGGUUCUACCUUAAGGCAAGGUUUUAAACCCUUGACCACGGUAUAGUCAGCGACUGGGGUGAAGUCGUAACAAGGUA
rnacentral:rRNA from 1 species